rnacentral:rRNA from 1 species
AUUGAACGCUGGCGGCAGGCCUAACACAUGCAAGUCGAGCGGAUGAAGUGAGCUUGCUCCUGGAUUCAGCGGCGGACGGGUGAGUAAUGCCUAGGAAUCUGCCUGGUAGUGGGGGAUAACGUCCGGACACGGGCGCUAAUACCGCAUACGUCCUGAGGGAGAAAGAGGGGGAUCUUCGGACCUCACGCUAUCAGAUGAGCCUAGGUCGGAUUAGCUAGGUGGUGGGGUAAAGGCCUACCGAGGCGACGAUCCGUAACUGGUCUGAGAGGAUGAUCAGUCACACGGGAAGUGAGACACGGUCCAGACUCCGACGGGAGGCAGCAGUGGGGAAUAUUGGACAAUGGGCGAAAGCCUGAUACAGCCAUGCCGCGUGUGUGAAGAAGGUCUUCGGAUUGUAAAGCACUGUAAGUUGGGAGGAAGGGCAGUAAGUUAAUACCUUGCUGUUUUGACGUUACCAACAGAAUAAGCACCGGCUAACUUCGUG